AAAGAUAAUUUAAAAUAAGCUUCUAACUUAAUUUUAAGCAAUAAAUUGUUUUUAUCUU
rnacentral:tRNA from 1 species